UCGCUGCUUUUUUCCUCUUUCUGCUCCUCCUCCUCCUGGUCAUCAUUUCAUCGUUCCUGCUUUUUGCCUCCACCACGUCCUCCUCCGCCAGAUGUUAAGAUGCUGAUAUUUUUCCUCCUUCUCCUCAAUUUGUGGUUGCUCCUUUUUUUUCUCCUCCUCUUCCUCCUCCUCCACCACCACCUCCACCUCCUCCGCCUUAUUUCGAGGUUUCUGUUUUUUUCCUCUUCCUACUUGUGAAUUCUUGGUGGCCACUUUUUUUUCCACCACCUCCUCCUUUUCCUCCUUCUGCUUCACCACAUCCUCCUCCUUCUCCUAGUCAUUUCAUCAUUCCUGCUUUUUGCCUCGUCCUCCUUUUUUCUCCUGUACCUCCACCUGCAACUUACCCACCUUAUUUCCUUUCGGCUGCUUUUUACCUCCUCCUUCUCAUUGUUCAAUCGCUGCUUUUUUCCUCUUUCUGCUCCUCCACCUCCAGCUCUAUCUCCUCCUCCUCCUCUUGGUCAUCCUUUCAUCGUUCCUGCCUUUUUCCUCCACCACAUCCUCCUCUGCCAGAUGUUAAGAUGCUGAUUUUUUUCUCCUUCUCCUCAAUUUGUGGUUGCUUCUUUUUUUCCUCCACCUCCUCCUCUACCACCACCACCACUUCCACCUCCUCCGCCUCAUUUUGUGGUUUCUGUCUUUUUCCUCUUCCUACAUGUGAAUUCCUGAUUGGCACGUUUUUUUUCCUCCUCCUCCACCACCACCACCUCCACCUCCUCCGCCUUAUUUCGAGGUUUCUGUUUUUUUUCCUCUUCCUACCUGUGAAUUCUUGGUGGCCACUUUUUUUUCCGCCGCCUCCUCCUCCUCUUCCUCCAGCACCUCCUUCUUUUCCUCCUCCUGCUUCACCACGUCCUCCUCCUUCUCCUAGUCACUUCAUCAUUCCUGCUUUUUGCCUCCUCCUCCUUCUCCUUCUCUACCUCCACCUGCAACUUACCCACCUUAUUUCCUUUCCGCUGCUUUUUACCACCUCCUCAUUGUUCAGUCGCUGCUUUUUUCCUCUUUCUGCUCCUCUUUCUCCACCUCCAGCUCUAUCUCCUCCUCCUCCUGGUCAUCAUUUCAUCGUUCCUGCUUUUUUCUUCCACCACCACCACCUGCACCUCCUCCACCUUAUUUUGUGGUUUCUGUUUUUUUUUCCUCUUCUUACCUGUGAAUUCUUGGUGGCCACUUUUUUUUACCUCUUCCUCAUCCUCUUCCAACACCUUCUCCUUUUCCUGCUCCUGCUCCACCUCCUUCUCCUUCUCCUCCUCCACCGAAUUGUGUGGUUUCUGCUUUUGUUAUCUUCCUCUGUGUAAUUUCAGGGUCACCACUUUUUUCCUUGUAUUCUUUCUCACCACCUCCAGCUCCUCCAUUUCAUUUCACUUUUUCUGCUCUUUUUCUCUACCUGCCUUUUCUUUCCUUUUUACCUUCAAUUUCCUCCUCCUUGUCCUCCUCCUCCUCGUCCUUCACCUCCACCUUUACCUUACCGUCGUCAUUUUGUGGUUGCUUCUCUUUUCCUGCUCUUCCUCUUCAUUUUUUGCUUCUUAUUUCCUUCUCCUCCUCCUCCUGAUCUUCCUCCACUUCGACCUGCUCCUCUCCUAUUUAUCAUUUUUUUUGUCUUACUUCUCCACUCCACCUUUGUGUUCUUUGAAAAGUGUUUCUUUCUUUUUCCCCCUGUAG
rnacentral:lncRNA from 1 species